CCCAAAAAUGAAACUGUAACUGAGGUAAUAACUGGAGAUAUUCCAAUCUCCUAGAACUGGAAGGGACCUUGAAAGGUCAUCAAGUCCAGCCCCCUACUUUCACUAGCAGGACCAAGU